UAGGGAUACCCGCUGAACUUAAGCAUAUCAAUAAGCGGAGGAAAAGAAACCAACAGGGAUUGCCCUAGUAACGGCGAGUGAAGCGGCAACAGCUCAAAUUUGAAAGCUGGCCUUCGGGUCCGCAUUGUAAUUUGUAGAGGAUGCUUUGGGGCAGCCGCCUGUCUAAGUUCCUUGGAACAGGACGUCAUAGAGGGUGAGAAUCCCGUAUGUGACAGGACAUGGCACCCUAUGUAAAGCUCCUUCGACGAGUCGAGUUGUUUGGGAAUGCAGCUCUAAAUGGGAGGUAAAUUUCUUCUAAAGCUAAAUAUUGGCGAGAGACCGAUAGCGCACAAGUAGAGUGAUCGAAAGAUGAAAAGCACUUUGGAAAGAGAGUUAAAAAGCACGUGAAAUUGUUGAAAGGGAAGCGCUUGCAAUCAGACUUGUUCAAACCGUUCGGCCGGUCUUCUGACCGGUUUACUCGGUUUGGACAGGCCAGCAUCAGUUUCGGCGGCCGGAUAAAGGCUCUGGGAAUGUGGCCUCCACUUCGGUGGAGGUGUUAUAGCCCGGGGUGUAAUACGGCCAGCCGGGACUGAGGUCCGCGCUUCGGCUAGGAUGCUGGCGUAAUGGUUGUAAGCGACCCGUCUUGAAACACGGACC
rnacentral:rRNA from 2 species